UGUUUGAGGGGCUAACAUUUAACGUGACUUUGCAGCGCUGCGGUUAAAAUGUUGUUGACUAGUCACGUUCAGUAUUUAGCAGACAGUUUGGAGUUAUACUACUACUUGUAAAGUUUAUGGAUUUGGUAGCAGCGGUAACGUGAAAUUAGCAAAGUUUCGGACGACUUCUGACUGGGGUGGUAAAGCUAGCUACACUGCUAACGAAGCGCCGUGGACAUGCUAACAGCAGUAGAGCAAACGCCAGAAACGUCACUGCCCCUCUGGCAGCAAGGAAGACUGCACUUUUCUCUGGAGCUCUUUCCUAGAAACCAACAGUUUCAACGAACUAUGAGAAACGUAACAGUUCUGUGUUCUGAUGGGUCCUCAUAGAGCCGACUUUGCUACAAUCCCGCUGCUGUCACAACCUGUCUCACAUGUACUGUGUUCAGCGCCCCGUAUAGAGAGCUCCUGAAACACGACUCUGGGAGUGACAGCAAAGAAAAGAAAGAGAUUUAAAGGUCAACAGAUCAAAAUAUUGUUCCCGAAAGCUCAGAGGCUUUCCAUCUGGUCUUCCCCUACUCGGGAUGCGCUGUGAUAACGUUUAAGAGUGGGUGACUUCGAUGUGAAGAGUCUCAUCACCUACACCUUUCUGCCAUUAAAAAGUAAGAGAAUAGCUUUCAUGGGACCCUGACGUUCUGG